rnacentral:lncRNA from 12 species
GCUUCAUCAAUUUUGACCUUCAUGUAUUCACCAAGUGUUUUUGCAACCUCCUAGCUUUGGUUUACACCGUUCCCUCCCCUGGGAUGCCCUCUCCAUCCACCUGCCACCAGUCUAUCACCUAUGCUUCUGGUCUGAUCUUAAGUGUCAUUUCUUUGGAAAGUCUUUCCACAACCAUGCUCCUUAAAGUUUCCUAAUUCUCCACCACAGAACCCUGUAGAGUUUAUACAAGUUAGGAAUGAUAUAUUUGCUUCUUUGCUCAUAUGUUAUCUAUCUCUUGCACUGGAUUGUAAGCCCCUUGAAAGCAAGAACUGUAUCUGUUUUAUUCACCUACCUAUGCCCUAUCAUUUAGUAUAGCUCCUGAUACAUAGCAAAAUCUCCAUAAAUAUCUACUAAAUAAACAAAUGAACGAAAUUUUUUCAGACUGAAGCAGACAUCAUCCCUAAUCCAGUCAUUGGUGGCUUUGAGCAGGAUGUGGCAGGUGUUUCCACGAAUAAAAAGGGCUCUGGUCCUGCUGUCACCACCCAGCACCCACCGAGUCUAUCCACAGCUUCUCUCACAGGCCAAGGGCCGCACCCCAGAUCUGGCCUGGCCUGGAAGGGUAAGUUUGCUCUCUUGCUUGAACUGGGACAUCCAUCUUCUCCUGUCCUCAGACAUCAGUGGUCCUGGUUCUCAGGCCUUUGGGUUUGGACCGGAACUUCCCCUUGGCUGUCCUGGGUCCCCGCCUUGCAGAUAGCAAGUUGUAGGACUUGUAGCCGCCAUAACUGCACGCGCCUUUCCCUCAUAAUGGAUCUUUUUUUUUUUUUUUUAAGUUUUUAUUUAUUUAUUUGAGAGAGCCAGCAUGAGUGGGGGGAGGGAUGGCGGGAGAGGGAGAAGCAGGCUUCCCUCUGAGCAGG